rnacentral:lncRNA from 1 species
CCUGGAGCUGGAGGAGACAAGCAGUGACUCCUUAGCCUUAGAAACCAGGCCAAGCCAUCACUGUCAAAAAUCUUAGGUGGAUGUGUGUGGGAAGCCACAUGUGAUAUUGCAGAGUAGCGCUGGCUACUGCUGGCCACCACACUUAAGUUUGGACAAAGAACCAAUGUGUACAUAUGCAGUAAAGCUUUUUGCCAAGACACUGCCUGGCCCGGGCAUGAUAAUGAGGUUUUGAGAGUAUAACCAAUUAGAUGUGAGACAUGCAAAUGAGGUAUGAUAAUGAGGCUCUGUGAGGUACAGAGAGAGAGAGAGUAGCCAAUCAGAUGAGGAACAUGCAAAUGAGGUAUAGUGCAUAACCAAUCCGGGUGUGAGACAUGCCUCUCCUAGGCCUAUAUAAGCAGCACCAGUUCUGGGCUGGGGUCUCUUCGCCUCUGCAAUCAAGCUUUCCCAAUAAACGUGUGCAGAAGGAUCUGCUGCAGCCUCGUUCUUGCUGGUCGAGUCCGGCGCAUGCCAGAGAUGUGAAUACUUUGGGGGAAAAUAUCGUUCUUACUGUCUUGAUAGUUACUAUAUAACUCAAUCAACUUAUUUUCUAGUUCAUGUUUUCCUUUCUGGAGAACUCACUGAAGAGAGAAACCUUGGCAGCCGUGAUGGUUUUCCCACCGUGGACUGCGUCGAAUAGCAGCCCUGGAGUCAUGCCGUGCAGAACCAACUGAGAGCUUCUCCAUCCUCUAGCAAAUAGCAGCUGUGGGGAGCCGCCCUCACAUUCGCCUUACAAGAUGGUGCUGACAUCCUGUGUUCUAAGUGGUAAACAAAUAAUCUGCGCAUGUGCCAAGGGUAGUUCCCCACCCCAUGUGCUCUGCCUUCCCCGUGACGACAACUCGGCCGAUGGGCUGCAGUCAAUCAGGGAGUAAUACGUCCUAGGCGGAGAAUAAUUCUCCUUAAAGGGGACGGGGUUUCGCCAUUCUCUCUCUUGCUUUUGCUCUUGCACUCUUGCGCUCUUGCGCUCUGGCUCCUAAAGAUGUAAGCAAUAGAGCUCUUGCUCUCUUGCACUC